CGUGCGAUACAGGGUGACAGCCCCGUACACAAAAAUGCACAUACUGUGAGCUCGAUGAGUAGGGCGGGACACGUGGUAUCCUGUCUGAAUAUGGGGGGACCAUCCUCCAAGGCUAAAUACUCCUGACUGACCGAUAGUGAACCAGUACCGUGAGGGAAAGGCGAAAAGAACCCCGGCGAGGGGAGUGAAAAAGAACCUGAAACCGUGUACGUACAAGCAGUGGGAGCACGCUUAGGCGUGUGACUGCGUACCUUUUGUAUAAUGGGUCAGCGACUUAUAUUCUGUAGCAAGGUUAACCGAAUAGGGGAGCCGAAGGGAAACCGAGUCUUAACUGGGCGUUAAGUUGCAGGGUAUAGACCCGAAACCCGGUGAUCUAGCCAUGGGCAGGUUGAAGGUUGGGUAACACUAACUGGAGGACCGAACCGACUAAUGUUGAAAAAUUAGCGGAUGACUUGUGGCUGGGGGUGAAAGGCCAAUCAAACCGGGAGAUAGCUGGUUCUCCCCGAAAGCUAUUUAGGUAGCGCCUCGUGAAUUCAUCUCCGGGGGUAGAGCACUGUUUCGGCAAGGGGGUCAUCCCGACUUACCAACCCGAUGCAAACUGCGAAUACCGGAGAAUGUUAUCACGGGAGACACACGGCGGGUGCUAACGUCCGUCGUGAAGAGGGAAACAACCCAGACCGCCAGCUAAGGUCCCAAAGUCAUGGUUAAGUGGGAAACGAUGUGGGAAGGCCCAGACAGCCAGGAUGUUGGCUUAGAAGCAGCCAUCAUUUAAAGAAAGCGUAAUAGCUCACUGGUCGAGUCGGCCUGCGCGGAAGAUGUAACGGGGCUAAACCAUGCACCGAAGCUGCGGCAGCGACGCUUAUGCGUUGUUGGGUAGGGGAGCGUUCUGUAAGCCUGUGAAGGUGUGCUGUGAGGUAUGCUGGAGGUAUCAGAAGUGCGAAUGCUGACAUAAGUAACGAUAAAGCGGGUGAAAAGCCCGCUCGCCGGAAGACCAAGGGUUCCUGUCCAACGUUAAUCGGGGCAGGGUGAGUCGACCCCUAAGGCGAGGCCGAAAGGCGUAGUCGAUGGGAAACAGGUUAAUAUUCCUGUACUUGGUGUUACUGCGAAGGGGGGACGGAGAAGGCUAUGUUGGCCGGGCGACGGUUGUCCCGGUUUAAGCGUGUAGGCUGGUUUUCCAGGCAAAUCCGGAAAAUCAAGGCCGAGGCGUGAUGACGAGGCACUACGGUGCUGAAGCAACAAAUGCCCUGCUUCCAGGAAAAGCCUCUAAGCAUCAGGUAACAUCAAAUCGUACCCCAAACCGACACAGGUGGUCAGGUAGAGAAUACCAAGGCGCUUGAGAGAACUCGGGUGAAGGAACUAGGCAAAAUGGUGCCGUAACUUCGGGAGAAGGCACGCUGAUACGUAGGUGAAGCGACUUGCUCGUGGAGCUGAAAUCAGUCGAAGAUACCAGCUGGCUGCAACUGUUUAUUAAAAACACAGCACUGUGCAAACACGAAAGUGGACGUAUACGGUGUGACGCCUGCCCGGUGCCGGAAGGUUAAUUGAUGGGGUUAGCGCAAGCGAAGCUCUUGAUCGAAGCCCCGGUAAACGGCGGCCGUAACUAUAACGGUCCUAAGGUAGCGAAAUUCCUUGUCGGGUAAGUUCCGACCUGCACGAAUGGCGUAAUGAUGGCCAGGCUGUCUCCACCCGAGACUCAGUGAAAUUGAACUCGCUGUGAAGAUGCAGUGUACCCGCGGCAAGACGGAAAGACCCCGUGAACCUUUACUAUAGCUUGACACUGAACAUUGAGCCUUGAUGUGUAGGAUAGGUGGGAGGCUUUGAAGUGUGGACGCCAGUCUGCAUGGAGCCGACCUUGAAAUACCACCCUUUAAUGUUUGAUGUUCUAACGUGGACCCGUGAUCCGGGUUGCGGACAGUGUCUGGUGGGUAGUUUGACUGGGGCGGUCUCCUCCUAAAGAGUAACGGAGGAGCACGAAGGUUGGCUAAUCCUGGUCGGACAUCAGGAGGUUAGUGCAAUGGCAUAAGCCAGCUUGACUGCGAGCGUGACGGCGCGAGCAGGUGCGAAAGCAGGUCAUAGUGAUCCGGUGGUUCUGAAUGGAAGGGCCAUCGCUCAACGGAUAAAAGGUACUCCGGGGAUAACAGGCUGAUACCGCCCAAGAGUUCAUAUCGACGGCGGUGUUUGGCACCUCGAUGUCGGCUCAUCACAUCCUGGGGCUGAAGUAGGUCCCAAGGGUAUGGCUGUUCGCCAUUUAAAGUGGUACGCGAGCUGGGUUUAGAACGUCGUGAGACAGUUCGGUCCCUAUCUGCCGUGGGCGCUGGAGAACUGAGGGGGGCUGCUCCUAGUACGAGAGGACCGGAGUGGACGCAUCACUGGUGUUCGGGUUGUCAUGCCAAUGGCACUGCCCGGUAGCUAAAUGCGGAAGAGAUAAGUGCUGAAAGCAUCUAAGCACGAAACUUGCCCCGAGAUGAGUUCUCCCUGACCCUUUAAGGGUCCUGAAGGAACGUUGAAGACGACGACGUUGAUAGGCCGGGUGUGUAAGCGCAGCGAUGCGUUGAGCUAACCGGUACUAAUGAACCGUGAGGCUUAACCUU
rnacentral:rRNA from 1 species